rnacentral:rRNA from 1 species
UGGGGAGCUGUAAGUAAGCUUUGAUCCAGAGAUUUCCGAAUGGGGAAACCCAGCAUGAGUUAUGUCAUGUUAUCGAUAUGUGAAUACAUAGCAUAUCAGAAGGCACACCCGGAGAACUGAAACAUCUUAGUACCCGGAGGAAGAGAAAGAAAAUUCGAUUCCCUUAGUAGCGGCGAGCGAAACGGGAAGAGCCCAAACCAACAAGCUUGCUUGUUGGGGUUGUAGGACACUCUAUACGGAGUUACAAAGGACGACAUUAGACGAAUCAUCUGGAAAGAUGAAUCAAAGAAGGUAAUAAUCCUGUAGUCGAAAAUGUUGUCUCUCUUGAGUGGAUCCUGAGUACGACGGAGCACGUGAAAUUCCGUCGGAAUCUGGGAGGACCAUCUCCUAAGGCUAAAUACUCUCUAGUGACCGAUAGUGAACCAGUACCGUGAGGGAAAGGUGAAAAGCACCCCGGAAGGGGAGUGAAAUAGAACCUGAAACCGUGUGCUUACAAGUAGUCAGAGCCCGUUAAUGGGUGAUGGCGUGCCUUUUGUAGAAUGAACCGGCGAGUUACGAUUUGAUGCAAGGUUAAGCAGUAAAUGUGGAGCCGUAGCGAAAGCGAGUCUGAAUAGGGCGUUUAGUAUUUGGUCGUAGACCCGAAACCAGGUGAUCUACCCUUGGUCAGGUUGAAGUUCAGGUAACACUGAAUGGAGGACCGAACCGACUUACGUUGAAAAGUGAGCGGAUGAACUGAGGGUAGCGGAGAAAUUCCAAUCGAACCUGGAGAUAGCUGGUUCUCUCCGAAAUAGCUUUAGGGCUAGCCUCAAGUGAUGAUUAUUGGAGGUAGAGCACUGUUUGGACGAGGGGCCCCUCUCGGGUUACCGAAUUCAGACAAACUCCGAAUGCCAAUUAAUUUAACUUGGGAGUCAGAACAUGGGUGAUAAGGUCCGUGUUCGAAAGGGAAACAGCCCAGACCACCAGCUAAGGUCCCAAAAUAUAUGUUAAGUGGAAAAGGAUGUGGCGUUGCCCAGACAACUAGGAUGUUGGCUUAGAAGCAGCCAUCAUUUAAAGAGUGCGUAAUAGCUCACUAGUCGAGUGACACUGCGCCGAAAAUGUACCGGGGCUAAACAUAUUACCGAAGCUGUGGAUUGUCCUUUGGACAAUGGUAGGAGAGCGUUCUAAGGGCGUUGAAGCAUGAUCGUAAGGACAUGUGGAGCGCUUAGAAGUGAGAAUGCCGGUGUGAGUAGCGAAAGACGGGUGAGAAUCCCGUCCACCGAUUGACUAAGGUUUCCAGAGGAAGGCUCGUCCGCUCUGGGUUAGUCGGGUCCUAAGCUGAGGCCGACAGGCGUAGGCGAUGGAUAACAGGUUGAUAUUCCUGUACCACCUAUAAUCGUUUUAAUCGAUGGGGGGACGCAGUAGGAUAGGCGAAGCGUGCGAUUGGAUUGCACGUCUAAGCAGUAAGGCUGAGUAUUAGGCAAAUCCGGUACUCAUUAAGGCUGAGCUGUGAUGGGGAGAAGACAUUGUGUCUUCGAGUCGUUGAUUUCACACUGCCGAGAAAAGCCUCUAGAUAGAAAAUAGGUGCCCGUACCGCAAACCGACACAGGUAGUCAAGAUGAGAAUUCUAAGGUGAGCGAGCGAACUCUCGUUAAGGAACUCGGCAAAAUGACCCCGUAACUUCGGGAGAAGGGGUGCUCUUUAGGGUUAACGCCCAGAAGAGCCGCAGUGAAUAGGCCCAAGCGACUGUUUAUCAAAAACACAGGUCUCUGCUAAACCGUAAGGUGAUGUAUAGGGGCUGACGCCUGCCCGGUGCUGGAAGGUUAAGAGGAGUGGUUAGCUUCUGCGAAGCUACGAAUCGAAGCCCCAGUAAACGGCGGCCGUAACUAUAACGGUCCUAAGGUAGCGAAAUUCCUUGUCGGGUAAGUUCCGACCCGCACGAAAGGCGUAACGAUUUGGGCACUGUCUCAACGAGAGACUCGGUGAAAUCAUAGUACCUGUGAAGAUGCAGGUUACCCGCGACAGGACGGAAAGACCCCGUGGAGCUUUACUGUAGCCUGAUAUUGAAAUUCGGCACAGCUUGUACAGGAUAGGUAGGAGCCUUUGAAACGUGAGCGCUAGCUUACGUGGAGGCGCUGGUGGGAUACUACCCUAGCUGUGUUGGCUUUCUAACCCGCACCACUUAUCGUGGUGGGAGACAGUGUCAGGCGGGCAGUUUGACUGGGGCGGUCGCCUCCUAAAAGGUAACGGAGGCGCUCAAAGGUUCCCUCAGAAUGGUUGGAAAUCAUUCAUAGAGUGUAAAGGCAUAAGGGAGCUUGACUGCGAGACCUACAAGUCGAGCAGGGUCGAAAGACGGACUUAGUGAUCCGGUGGUUCCGCAUGGAAGGGCCAUCGCUCAACGGAUAAAAGCUACCCCGGGGAUAACAGGCUUAUCUCCCCCAAGAGUUCACAUCGACGGGGAGGUUUGGCACCUCGAUGUCGGCUCAUCGCAUCCUGGGGCUGUAGUCGGUCCCAAGGGUUGGGCUGUUCGCCCAUUAAAGCGGUACGCGAGCUGGGUUCAGAACGUCGUGAGACAGUUCGGUCCCUAUCCGUCGUGGGCGUAGGAAAUUUGAGAGGAGCUGUCCUUAGUACGAGAGGACCGGGAUGGACAUACCUCUGGUGUACCAGUUGUCGUGCCAACGGCAUAGCUGGGUAGCUAUGUGUGGACGGGAUAAGUGCUGAAAGCAUCUAAGCAUGAAGCCCCCCUUAAGAUGAGAUUUCCCAACUUCGGUUAUAAGAUCCCUCAAAGAUGAUGAGGUUAAUAGGUUCGAGGUGGAAGCAUGGUGACAUGUGGAGCUGACGAAUACUAAUCGAUCGAAGACUUAAUCAA